rnacentral:rRNA from 1 species
AGAGUUUCAUUCUGGCUCAGGACGAACGCUGGCGGCGUGCCUAACACAUGCAAGUCGAACGGGGUAGAUUACUUCGGUUUUCUGCUUAGUGGCGAACGGGUGAGUAACGCGUGAGCAACCUGCCUUUCAGUGGGGGACAACAGUUGGAAACGACUGCUAAUACCGCAUAAUGUUAUUUGGGGGCAUCCUCAAAUAACCAAAGAUUUAUUGCUGAAAGAUGGUCUCGCGUCUGAUUAGCUUGUUGGCGGGGUAACGGCCCACCAAGGCGACGAUCAGUAGCCGGUCUGAGAGGAUGAACGGCCACAUUGGGACUGAGAUACGGCCCAGACUCCUACGGGAGGCAGCAGUGGGGAAUAUUGGGCAAUGGGCGAAAGCCUGACCCAGCAACGCCGCGUGAAGGAAGAAGGCCUUCGGGUUGUAAACUUCUUUUACCAGGGACGAAAUCUGACGGUACCUGGAGAAAAAGCAACGGCUAACUACGUGCCAGCAGCCGCGGUAAUACGUAGGUUGCAAGCGUUGUCCGGAUUUACUGGGUGUAAAGGGCGUGUAGGCGGAGAUGCAAGUUGGGAGUGAAAUCCCGGGGCUCAACCCCGGAACUGCUUUCAAAACUGCAUCCCUUGAGUAUCGGAGAGGCAAGCGGAAUUCCUAGUGUAGCGGUGAAAUGCGUAGAUAUUAGGAGGAACACCAGUGGCGAAGGCGGCUUGCUGGACGACAACUGACGCUGAGGCGCGAAAGCGUGGGGAGCAAACAGGAUUAGAUACCCUGGUAGUCCACGCUGUAAACGAUGAAUACUAGGUGUGGGGGGACUGACCCCCUCCGUGCCGCAGUUAACACAAUAAGUAUUCCACCUGGGGAGUACGACCGCAAGGUUGAAACUCAAAGGAAUUGACGGGGGCCCGCACAAGCAGUGGAUUAUGUGGUUUAAUUCGACGCAACGCGAAGAACCUUACCAGGACUUGACAUCCAACUAACGAAGUAGAGAUACAUUAGGUGCCCUUCGGGGAAAGUUGAGACAGGUGGUGCAUGGUUGUCGUCAGCUCGUGUCGUGAGAUGUUGGGUUAAGUCCCGCAACGAGCGCAACCCCUAUUGUUAGUUGCUACGCAAGAGCACUCUAGCGAGACUGCCGUUGACAAAACGGAGGAAGGUGGGGACGACGUCAAAUCAUCAUGCCCCUUAUGUCCUGGGCUACACACGUACUACAAUGGUGGUUAACAAAGCGAAGCAAGACCGCGAGGUGGAGCAAAUCGCGAAAAGCCAUCCCAGUUCGGAUUGCAGGCUGCAACUCGCCUGCAUGAAGUUGGAAUUGCUAGUAAUCGUGGAUCAGCAUGCCACGGUGAAUACAAUCCCGGGCCUUGCACACACCGCCCGUCA